GGUGAUAGGGGGGCCAGGCCACGUGAAGCGCCAGCACAGCCAGAAAUUAUCAGUCUAGAAGGAAGGUAGUAUUCAGGCCACACUAACCUCAUUCACUUGGGACUAUAUCAGAGCUUUCUGAGCUGUUUUGUUUUGUUUUAUUUGCUGUUAAUCUUGAAAUUUAAUAGGGAGAAACUACUAAAUAACAGUUACCUUUAUGCCAGCAUUUCCUAUUGUUAGUAUGGUACAGAAUCACUGCAGGAAGGAAAUCCUAAAAGGGCAAAAACACAUGGGCAAAGCACAUGUUUUUAUGUUGCAGCAUGCUUUCAGUAUUUUUAUGGUGGAAACAACAUUCCUUAAAAACCACAAUAGGCUUCCCAGGUGUCUCUUCAGAUCCAUCAGGUUCUAGGCAUAUAAAGGCUGCUCAACUCAUAACCUUCUGGGCCAUGUACAGAUAAACUUGUAGGUACAAAAGAUAUGGUACCUUUUGGAAAGAAAAUCCUCAGGUACAGCAUGUUGUCUCAUUUACUCCCACUAAAAUUCAUUAUCUUGUCUGGGAGCAAGGCAGCAGCAGGGAGCAGCAUGAGUUCUGACCCACUGUUUUUAUGCCAGACUGGCGCUCCUCACACAAGGACAGGUCAAUGAUACUUGUUUUCCACUGCUAAGAUUUUUAUUUUUUCUUUUGGCAGUAGCCAAGGCACCUAGUUAAAAAGAAAACACUCAUUAUUCCUACUUACUCCUACUUUUUCAUUUUACACAGUAAUAUUCAUUUCAGUGGCAUGUUUCUGGUGAAGAUCUCUUUAGCUAUGGGAGCAGUUUGACUUUGAUACUAAAAAAGCUAGUAAGUCACAGAAACUGAUUAAAUAGGCAACCGUUCUAUAAGUAAUACUGAUUUAAUUAUGUACCUGAAGUUGACCAAGGCGUGAGAAUUAAAGUGAACUUUAUUUAGGGCCAGUAGAGUUCUUGUAAACACCCCACUCCCCGUACCUGUAAUAAUUUUCAGGCCUAAUUAAGUGAAUUAUUCUUUUUUUUUUUCCUAGGGCCGCACCCACAGCAUAUGAAGGUUCCCAGGCUAGGGGUCUAAUCGGAGCUGUGGCCGCCGGCCUACACCACAGGCACAGCAACGCAGGAUCCAAGCCGCGUCUUUGACCUACACCACAGCUCACGGCAACGCUGGAUCCUUAACCCACUGAGCCACGAUGGGAACUCUGAAAUAUUCCCAGAUAAAAUCUUUAAAGGCUGUAUCGAUUUGAGAUUAUUGCAUUAUUUUUUUAAAACUUGUCUUGGUAUAACUACUGCAUUUUCCAGAGCCUGUGAGUCUCUGGUCCCAUGGCGAUGGAACCUGAGGAUUGGAAGGACCUUGGGGAUCACCAAAUUCCCAGUGCAAGAAUCCUCUCCAUAAUAUUCUGUCAGACAGGCAAUUGUGUGAUUCUUGACCACUUUUUUCCUCCAAAGUAUGUAUUUUUCCUCCACAGGUGUUUGAUGCUACUCACUCAUCUUUCCAUGAUAAGUCAUUGUUUAUGUCCAAGCCAAGAUCUGCCUUCUAGGAUCUCUCACCAUUGUUCCCAGCCCUCCCCUCCAUUACCACACAGACCAAAUCUUCUUUGUCCAAAAUAGUUAAAGCCAUCUAUUUUCCUAUUUCCCAUUCCCCUUUCUCCCACCUGUGAUCUUCUCAGGCCAGAAAAAAUUCCUGGUUCUUUCAACAGCUUAUUUCAAGGUUUUAAAUGCAGUGGAAAAUUCAAAGAGUAAUAUAAUGAACACUCAUAUUCUCUGUCAGCCAGAAUUAUCAACAAUUAAGAUUUUGUCAUGUUUUUCUUAAAUAAUUUAAACAGUACAGAAAUGGUUAUUUCCCUUUUGAUCACCCUUUCUAGUGUCGUCUUCCUCCUCUGUGUCAUGCAUAUAUAGGUAUGUUUAAACAACAUACAGAUUUGUUUUGGUUUUCUGUUUUAAUUUACACAAAUGAUGUUGUUAUGAAUGUGUCUAUAUGUUUUGUCCACACAGCAAAAUGUCAUAGAUCUUUCUGUAUUUUUUGUAUUAAUCUUUCCAUACUAUAUAUUGUCUUAAUCAUUAUAUAUAACAAAGUAUUUUUGGCUAUCUGCCAUUUGGGCUUAUGAUAGGAUUGUAGUCCUGUCCCUUUUGAAGUUAGGUGUGGCCAUGUGACUUGUUUCCAUCAAUGAAAUGUCAGCAGAAGUAAUGGGUACACUUCCAAAUGGAAGUUUUAAGAGUUGAUGUGAUAUUCAUUCCCCCCACAAAUAGAGACAGGGUCUGUCAGCCUGGGUCUGAGAAUAACUACGUUGAACCUCACUGCCAACUCACUUUUUAAACAUGUAGUAUAAGAAAUAAAUGGCCUUUGCUUGUGUUAAGCCACUCCGAUUUUCGGUUUCUUUUAUUAAUUUGGCAAACUUAGCACAUCCUGAUAUAUAAGUAAACCUACAUCAUUGUUUUAGUGGCUGCAAAGUUUCCCUUAUAGACUUUUUCUGUCUGUCCAUUUUCCUACUGAUAGAAGCCUAAGGACUUCCUGAAUUUUGCUUUUAUAAACAGUCUUAUAUUGGUAGUUGUAUAAAUUGGUGAGAAUUUCUCCAGGAUAUAUAUCUAGAAACAGGAUUGCUGGGUCGCAGGGUAUGAAUAAUUUCAGUUUUAUAGGAUUCUGUUUUUGCUAUCUAAAGCGGCUAUACCAAUUUACAUUCUCACCCUUUCACCUGUCAUUUGUGUGACGUGAUUCCCAACCCUUUUUCUAAUCUUGGUUCCCUUUUCUGAAUUCACUUUUUUUUAAGGGUCUCUGAAUUCACUCUUGUCAGUCAUUGUUUCUCUGUGAUACUCAGACUGGAAGUUGGUUGUCCAGUUGUUGUCCAACUGAGGUAGAUGAUAUAUUUCUGAAUUCAGCCCAAGUUGAAUAGCUGGGGGUGUUUGCUGGCAUAGAAAACUGAAUAUCUAUCAUCCUAUAUUUAGGAGUUUUUAAAAUUGCAGUGGCUUUACAUAUGUUCUAGUUAAAUUUCAUUCUGUUUUUGCUUAUCAUAUUAGCUUCUGAAUUCUCCCCUUUCCACUGAUGAAUGUUAUUCCUCCUAGGACAGUAACCUUAGAUUCAUCUACAUUACCGAUCAAAGUUUGAUCAGCACCAGGCCAAAGGCAUAGCUCUCUGUCCCAUCCCAAGACACUUUUCAGGUUUACCUGUCUGUAGCUGGAAUUCUUCAUCUUAUCACCUGGAAAAUUUUGUCAGCUGCACCACAUAUACUCUACCUGUAAAGAAUUAUCCCAAUGAAUGAAUUGAAUGGCUAGAACAGAAAGGAGUCUGGUGUAAGUUGGGUGUGUCAUGAUUUUAGAAAGCCCAUGCUGGCUGUUAGUGACAAUUUUUUUCUUUUUCGAAUGCUUAUCCAACCAGUGCUUUAUUAAUCUCAUCUAGAAUUUAGUAUGGAGUGAGACUGAAGCUUUUUAUUUGUAGAGAUUACAUUCCACCUCUUUUUUUUUUUUUUCUUCAGUACCGCACCCGAAGUUCCCAGGUUCCCAGGCUAAGGAUCGAAUUGGAGCUGUAAUCACUGGCCUACACCACAGCAACACCAGAUCUGAGCCACAUCUGCAGCCUACACCAUGCUCACGGCAAUGCUAGAUCUUUAACCCACUGAGGGAAGCCAGGGAUUGAAUCUGCGGCCUCAUGGGUACUAGUCAGUUCGUUUCUGCUGAGCCAUGAUGGGAUCACCCCUUCUACCUCUUUGAAAAAAAAAGGGGGGGGAUUUUUGCCUCUCUCCAGUCUUUUGGGAGGUCUGAUUUCUGUGAGUUUUCAUAGAUGAAAGGAAGUGUUUCUUCUAUUACGGCUGCGAAUAGUUUUUUAGCCCUGAGGAGAGGAACAAGAUGAUUUUUAGGAUUAUGAGCAUCAGGAUGCCUGUGCUCUACUCCCCAGUCAAUACGUCUUUUUUUCUUGUAUCAGAACCAAACCUGUUCAUAGUUCAAGGAACUAUAGGGAUUUCCUAGGCCAGCAGCUCAGGUCGUUACAAGUUAGGUUUACUGAUGGUCUUUCUCUUGUUCUUUGGGACCAGCUACAUGCCUUAUUCCUAUUACCAUUUUCAUAGUAGGAUUCUUAGUUACAUGUGUCAGGAUCCCAACUCAGAUUAGCCUAAGAAAGAAAAAGAAAGUUUACUGUUAAGUGAAUAACACAUAGAUGCUGCUUUUAGGAGUGGCUGUAUCCUCUCACUCAUCACAGCCCUGAUUCUCUUUCUCCUACCUUUGCUUUUCUCUGAGUCAGUUUCACUCAUUCUCAGGCAGGCCACCUGCAGUAGAUGUGCAGUGCUUCUUUUCCAGUACUUCUGUCAAAACUCUUGGGUGACUUGUUGAUGUAGCCUGGUUCAUGUGCCUUAGAAGAAAGAGGUGUGUAUGGGGGGGGCAGAGAGUGCCCUCACCCAGACCACAUGGACUGAGUGAGCCCUCAUUCAUUCCUCUUUCAUACACUUGCUGAGUGCCCACUAUGUGAUAGGCACUGUGUUAGGCUCAGGGGUUGUUACAGCAAACAGUACAAUUAUAGUCUCUGCCUUCUUAAAGUGUGUAAGUGUUAAAAAAAAAGUGGACUUUAAUGUGCUCAUAGUAAUAAAGGAGAAAUUAUGGGUGCUGGAAAGCAAACCACAGGGGUUCUGACCUACUCUGGGGCAGGUAAGGGAAGGCUGCCCUAAGGAAGUGCUCUUUGGAUUGAAAUCUAACAUGAGUAGAAGUUAGCUAUGUGAAGUAGGUAGGAAGGUUGAUGACGAGCAUUUGGGGGAGAGAGGUGGAAUAUACAGAGCCUUGGAGGCAGGAAGGAGCAUAUUUCAGACACUGAAAGAAGGCCAGGAUGUUUGGAUCACAGAGACUGAAGGGGCAGAGAGAGACAUACGUGGGGCUGGAGAGAUAGGUUGGUACCACCUCUAGUAAAGCCUCAUGAUUUGGCAAGAAGUUAGGAAGUCAUAUAGAUAGCCAUAGCCCAUGUGGGUAACGCAUGUCCUACGGCUUAAUCUAGUUAAUUAACUGGCCAAGAUCACUCACCUGGUUGGGAUUUAAGUCUUGGCACGCCAGGUAUCUGUCAUGUGUCCAGACCUGUUUCGGGCAUUGCCUCUCCCAGGAAGCAGUCCUUCCUGCCCAUGGGAAAGGGUAAGUGUUCCUCCAUUUCUGCUCCCUUAGUACUCUGUGCAGAAAACUUUCAUGGCUUUAUUUACCCCAUCCAGGUCUGGGCAGGACAUGUUGGUGCCCAGCCAGGCCAAUGAUUGGCAUCCAUGAAAAAAAAAAAAGUGUUAUCAUAGCAGGCUUGACUUUGAAAAGUUGUCCCUUGGCUGGCAUCUGGAACUUGACUUUCAGGGGGGUUCCCACCAUUCCCAGAACUGAUAAGUGUGGCUCAGUGUGCCUGAACUGUUUAUAUAAAUAAGGUAGUUUCUGCUGAACAUCUGCUUUCCUUCUUGAGGUCUAGAACUUUGAUAUUUGCCAAUCAGAGGGUUCCUGUGUGACCAACCUCCAAUCAAAACCCUGGAUACUGAGUCCCUGAUGAGCUUCCCUACUGAACAUUUCACGUGUGUUGUCACAACUUGUUGCUAGGGAAAUUAGGUGCAUCCUGUGUAACUCCACUGGGAGAGGACUCUUGGAAGCUUGUGCCUGUUCUCCCCUAUAUCUCAUCCCAUAUGCCUUUUCCCUCUGCUGAUUUUGCUUUGUAUCCUUUCACUGUAAUAAAUCCUUGGCGAUGAGUGUGGUUAUAUGCUGAGUUCUGUGAAUCCUCCUAGUGAAUCACAGAACUUGGAGGUGGUCUUGGGGAUCCCCCGAUACAGCACCCUUGAAAACCAUUGUUAAUUUUUUUUUUUUUUGUCUUUUGUCUUUUUAGGGCUGCACCUGGAGGUUCCCAGGUUAGGGGUCGAAUCGAAGCUGCAGCUGCCAGCCUAUACCACAACCACAGCAACAUCAGAUCCGAGCCACAUCUGCAGCCUACACCACAGCUCGUGGCAACACCAGAUCCUUAACCCACUGAGAAUUGAACCCUCAAUCUCAUGGUUCCUAGUCAUCCGAUGCAUCAUGAUGGGAACUCCCCAUUGUUAAAUAUUUUUCAACACUUAUUUUCAAAGGAGAGAGUGAGCCUAGCGAGGAACUAGGGCAGAGAAAGGGGCUCUCAAUUCACUUUGCUGUACACCUGAAACUAAUACAAUAUUGUAAAUCAACUAUACUCUACUCCAAAAAAAAAUUUUUAAUCUUUAUUGAGGAUAGCCAAGACAUGGAAACAACCUAAAUGUCCAUUGACAGAGGAGUGGAUCCAGAAGAUGUGGUACAUAUACACAAUGGAAUGUUACUCAGCCAUCAAAAAGAAGGAUAUACCAGCAUUCUUAGCAACAUGGAUGGACCUAGAAAUGAUCAUGCUAAGUGAAGUCAGCCAUACAAUGAGACACCAACAUCAAAUGCUUUCACUGACACGUGGAAUCUGAAAAAAGGACAGACGGAACUUCUUUGCAGAACAGAUGCUGACUCACAGACAUUAAAAAACUUAUGGUCUCCGGAGGAGACAGUUUGGGGGUGGGGGGAAUGUGCUUGGGCUGUGGGAUGGAAAUCCUGUGAAAUCAGAUUGUUAUGAUCAUUAUACAACUACAGAUGUGAUAAAUUCAUUUGAGUAAUAAAAAAAAUGAAAAAAAAAA
ensembl:lncRNA